UUACAGACCCGAACCCGGAUGAUCUAACCAUGGCCAGUGUGAAGCUUAGGUAACACUAAGUGGAGGCACGAACCGACUGAUGUUGAAAAAUCAGCGGAUGAGUUGUGGUUAGGGGUGAAAUGCCAAUCGAAUCCGGAGCUAGCUGGUUCUCCCCGAAAUGCGUUUAGGCGCAGCGGUUAGUGCUAUAGCUUAGGGGUAAAGCACUGUUUCGGUGCGGGCUGCUAACGCGGUACCAAAUCGAUGCAAACUCUGAAUACUAAGUGUGUAACUAACCAGUAAGACUGUGGGGGAUAAGCUCCAUUGUCAAGAGGGAAACAGCCCAGACCACCAGCUAAGGCCCCUAAAUGAUUACUAAGUGAUAAAGGAUGUGGGAAUGCUGAGACAAUCAGGAGGUUCGCCUAGAAGCAGCUAUCCUUUAAAGAGUGCGUAAUAGCUCACUGAUCAAGCGCACCUGCGCCGAAAAUGAACGGGGCUAAGUAAUCUGCCGAAGCUGUGGGAUCUUUUAGAUCGGUAGGGGAGCGUUCCACAAUAGAUUGAAGCAUUAGCGUAAGCGGAUGUGGACGAAGUGGAAGUGAGAAUGUCGGCUUGAGUAGCGAAAACAUUGGUGAGAAUCCAAUGCCCCGAAAACCUAAGGUUUCCUCCGGAAGGCUCGUCCGCGGAGGGUGAGUCAGGACCUAAGGCGAGGCCGAAAGGCGUAGCUAAUGGACAACGGGUUAAUAUUCCCGUACCAUCUAUUGCUGAUAUCGAGGGACGGAGAAGGCUAGACCAGCCGGAUGUUGGUUACCGGUUUAAGCGUUAAAGGUGUUGAAGAGCGGCGAAAACGCUCUGAGCUAAGGCGUGAAUACGAAAUACCAAGGUAUUGAAGUGGUUGAUGUCAUACUUCCAAGAAAAGCUCGGAAUAUCAUAAGUUAUAGAUGCCUGUACCCGAAACCGACACAGGUAGGUAGGUAGAGCAUACCAAGGGGCGCGAGAUAACUCUCUCUAAGGAACUCGGCAAAAUUACCUCGUAACUUCGGAAAAAGAGGUACCCCUUUAGGGGGGUUGCAAUACAUUGACCCUGGCGACUGUUUACCAAAAACACAGGUCUCCGCUAAUUCGUAAGAAAAAGUAUGGGGGCUGACGCCUGCCCAGUGCCGGAAGGUUAAAGAAGUUGGUUAGUCUUCGGACGAAGCUAGCGACUGAAGCCCCGGUGAACGGCGGCCGUAACUAUAACGGUCCUAAGGUAGCGAAAUUCCUUGUCGGGUAAGUUCCGACCCGCACGAAAGGCGUAACGAUCAGGGCACUGUCUCGGAGAGAGACUCGGUGAAAUAGAAUUGUCUGUGAAGAUGCGGACUACCUGCACCUGGACAGAAAGACCCUAUGAAGCUUUACUGUAUCUUGGAAUUGGGUUUGGUCUUUACUUGCGCAGGAUAGGUGGGAGGCUUUGAUGGUAUUCUUGCGGGAAUAUCGGAGCCAAUGGUGAGAUACCACUCUAGUAAGGCUAAAAUUCUAACUUCGAACCGUUAUCCGGUCGAAGAACAGUUUCAGGUGGGCAGUUUGACUGGGGCGGUCGCCUCCUAAAAGGUAACGGAGGCGUGCAAAGGUUCCCUCAGGCUGGUUGGAAAUCAGUCGUAGAGUGUAAAGGCAUAAGGGAGCUUGAUUGUGAGACAUACAAGUCGAACAAAGACGAAAGUCGGCCUUAGUGAUCCGGCGGUACCGAGUGGAAGGGCCGUCGCUCAACGGAUAAAAGUUACUCUAGGGAUAACAGGCUGAUCUCCCCCAAGAGUUCAUAUCGACGGGGAGGUUUGGCACCUCGAUGUCGGCUCGUCGCAUCCUGGGGCGGUAGUACGUCCCAAGGGUUGGGCUGUUCGCCCAUGAAAGC
rnacentral:rRNA from 1 species